GCGUAACACGUGGAUAACCUUCCUUCAGGUGGGGAAUAACCCAGUGAAAAUUGGGCUAAUACCGCAUAACAUGACGAUGGCACAUGCUGUUGUCUUCAAAGGCGCAAGUCGCCAGAAGAGGGAUCCGCGGCCGAUUAGCUUGUUGGCGAGGUAAUGGCUCACCAAGGCAUUGAUCGGUAGCCGGACUGAGAGGUUGGCCGGCCACACUGGAACUGAGACACGGUCCAGACUCCUACGGGAGGCAGCAGUGGGGAAUCUUGCACAAUGGACGAAAGUCUGAUGCAGCAACGCCGCGUGGGGGAUGAAGCUUCUCGGAGUGUAAACCCCUUUCGACCCGGAAGAAUGCCCGCAAGGGUUUGACGGUACGGGUAUAAGAAGCCCCGGCUAACUACGUGCCAGCAGCCGCGGUAAUACGUAGGGGGCCAGCGUUGCUCGGAAUUACUGGGCGUAAAGGGUCCGUAGGCGGUGCGGCAAGUCGAUAGUGAAAUCCCUAGGCUUAACCUAGGGGCUGCUAGCGAAACUGCCGUGCUAGAGUGUGAGAGAGGCGAGUGGAAUUACGGGUGUAGCGGUGAAAUGCGUAGAUAUCCGUAGGAACAUCCGAGGCGAAAGCGGCUCGCUGGAUCACAACUGACGCUGAGGGACGAAAGCUAGGGGAGCAAACAGGAUUAGAUAC
rnacentral:rRNA from 1 species